GAUGAACGCUAGCUACAGGCUUAACACAUGCAAGUCGAGGGGAAACGAUAUUGGAAGCUUGCUUCCGAUAGGCGUCGACCGGCGCACGGGUGAGUAACGCGUAUCCAACCUGCCCACCACUUGGGGAUAACCUUGCGAAAGUAAGACUAAUACCCAAUGAUAUCUCUAGAAGACAUCUGAAAGAGAUUAAAGAUUUAUCGGUGAUGGAUGGGGAUGCGUCUGAUUAGCUUGUUGGCGGGGUAACGGCCCACCAAGGCGACGAUCAGUAGGGGUUCUGAGAGGAAGGUCCCCCCACAUUGGAACUGAGACACGGUCCAAACUCCUACGGGAGGCAGCAGUGAGGAAUAUUGGUCAAUGGACGAGAGUCUGAACCAGCCAAGUAGCGUGCAGGAUGACGGCCCUAUGGGUUGUAAACUGCUUUUAUAAGGGAAUAAAGUGAGUCUCGUGAGACUUUUUGCAUGUACCUUAUGAAUAAGGACCGGCUAAUUCCGUGCCAGCAGCCG
rnacentral:rRNA from 1 species